CCUACGGGAGGCUGCAGUGAGGAAUAUUGGUCAAUGGACGCAAGUCUGAACCAGCCAAGCCGCGUGCAGGACGACGGCUCUAUGAGUUGUAAACUUCUUUUGUACAGGGAUAAAUUCCGGCACGUGUGUCUGUUUGAAAGUACUUUACGAAUAAGGAUCGGCUAACUCCGUGCCAGCAGCCGCGGUAAUACGGAGGAUGCAAGCGUUAUCCGGAUUUAUUGGGUUUAAAGGGUGCGUAGGCGGUUCGUUAAGUUAGAUGUGAAAGGCCGGGGCUCAACCCCGGCAAUGCCUUUGAUACUGGCGGGCUAGAGUUUAGGUGCGGUAGGCGGAAUGUGUGGUGUAGCGGUGAAAUGCUUAGAGAUCACGCAGAACACCGAUUGCGAAGGCAGCAUACCAAACUACGACUGACGUUGAGGCACGAAAGCGUGGGGAGCAAACAGGAUUAGAUACCCGGGUAGUC
rnacentral:rRNA from 1 species